AGCAGCAUGGUGUAGUGGUUUGAACAUUGGACCAUGACUCUGGAAAUCAGGGUUCAAUACCCUGUUUGGUUA